UAGAAAGAUAGGGGGUAAUAAUAGAGAGGGAGGGGUAAUAAAAGAGAGGGAGGGGUAAUAAUAGAGAGGGUAAUAAUAGAAAGAUAGGGGGUAAUGAUAGAGAGGAAGGGGUAAUUAAAGAGAGGGAGGGGUAAUAAUAGAGAGGGUACUAAUAGAAAUAGAGGGGUAAUAAUAGAGAGGGUGGGGUAAUAAAAGAGAGGGUGGGGUAAUAAUAGAGGGUAAUAAUAGAAAGAUAGGGGGUAAUAAAAGAGAGUGAGGGGUAAUAAAAGAGUGGGAGGGGUAAUAAUAGAGAGGGUACUAAUAGAAAGAUAGGGGGUAAUAAUAGAGAGGGAGGGGUAAUAAAAGAGAGGGAGGGGUAAUAAUAGAGAGGGUAAUAAUAGAAAGAUAGGGGGUAAUGAUAGAGAGGAAGGGGUAAUUAAAGAGAGGGAAGGGUAAUAAUAGAGAGGGUACUAAUAGAAAGAUAGGGGGUAAUAAAAGAGAGUGAGGGGUAAUAAAAGAGUGGGAGGGGUAAUAAUAGAAAGGGUACUAAUAGAAAGAUAGGGGGUAAUAAUAGAGAGCGAGGGGUAAUAAGAAGGGGGGGGGUAAUAAUAGAGAGAAUAAUAAUAGAAAGAUAGGGGGUAAUAAUAGAGAGCGAGGGGUAAUAAAAGAGAGGGAGGGGUAAUAAUAGAGAGGGUACUAAUAGAGAG